UACGUAGGGUGCAAGCGUUGUCCGGAAUUAUUGGGCGUAAAGAGCUCGUAGGCGGUCUGUCGCGUCUGCUGUGAAAACCUGGGGCUUAACCCCGGGCCUGCAGUGGGUACGCAGACUAGAGUGCGGUAGGGGAGACUGGAAUUCCUGGUGUAGCGGUGAAAUGCGCAGAUAUCAGGAGGAACACCGGUGGCGAAGGCGGGUCUCUGGGCCGUAACUGACGCUGAGGAGCGAAAGCGUGGGGAGCGAACAGG
rnacentral:rRNA from 1 species